UACGUAGGGCGCAAGCGUUGUCCGGAAUUAUUGGGCGUAAAGAGCUCGUAGGCGGUUUGUCGCGUCUGCUGUGAAAACUCGAGGCUCAACCUGGGAAUGGCAGUGGAUACUGGCAAGCUAGAGUGUGAUAGAGGAUGGUGGAAUUCCCGGUGUAGCGGUGAAAUGCGUAGAGAUCGGGAGGAACACCUGUGGCGAAGGCGGCCACCUGGGCCGACCCUGACGCUGAGGCGCGAAGGCGUGGGGAGCGAACGGG
rnacentral:rRNA from 1 species